rnacentral:rRNA from 1 species
GAUCCUGACUCAGGAUGAACGCUAGCUACAGGCUUAACACAUGCAAGUCGAGGGGCAGCAUCAUCAAAGCUUGCUUUGAUGGAUGGCGACCGGCGCACUGGUGAGUAACACGUAUCCAACCUGCCGACAACACUGGGACAGCCUUUCGAAAGAAAGAUUAAUACCGGAUGGCAUAGUUUUCCCGCAUGGGAUAAUUAUUAAAGAAUUUCGGUUGUCGAUGGGGAUGCGUUCCUAAG